rnacentral:lncRNA from 1 species
AAUUUCAUAAUUUUCGACAUCAUUUACCUAUUAAACGAAUAGUCUAAAAAUGAACAAUUUCAUAAUUUAUUUAUUUAUUUAAAAUUAAAUAAAUAAAUUAACUAAUUAAUUAAAAUUAUCAAUUUUGAGAUCUUUUGAUCGCUGGUCAAAUGAUGUCGAAAAAAUCUAAAAUUUAGUUUCCAAAUACUUUCAAUAAUGUAGAUCAAGUCUAACUGAGCCGAUUGUCGAUUUGGAAGCCGCAUCAUCGAAAA